rnacentral:rRNA from 1 species
UACGAAGGGGGCUAGCGUUGCUCGGAAUCACUGGGCGUAAAGCGCACGUAGGCGGAUCUUUAAGUCAGGGGUGAAAUCCUGGAGCUCAACUCCAGAACUGCCUUUGAUACUGGGGAUCUCGAGUCCGGGAGAGGUGAGUGGAACUGCGAGUGUAGAGGUGAAAUUCGUAGAUAUUCGGAGGAACACCAGUGGCGAAGGCGGCUCACUGGCCCGUUACCGACGCUCAGGCGCGAAAGCGUGGGGAGCAAACAGG